AGGGUUCAGUGGCGGACGGGCGAGUAAUGAAUCGCUAAUGUACCCCAGAGUCUGGGAUAGCUGACCGAAAGGUCAGGUAAUACCAGAUGAUAUAUCCGGUUGGCGUCAACUGGAUCUCAAAGGGCAAUCGCUCUGGGAGCAGGCGAUUUCGUAUCAGCUUGUUGGUGAGGUAACGGCUCACCAAGGCGACGACGCGUAGCUGGUCUGAGAGGACGGCCAGCCACAUUGGGACUGAGACACUGCCCAGACUCCUACGGGGGGCUGCAGUAACGAAUCUUUCGCAAUGCACGCAAGUGUGACGGAGCGACGCCGCGUGUGGGACGAAGUCCUUCGGGAUGUAAACCACUGUCAGGGGUUAGAAAGUUCUGAUCAACCCCAGAGGAAGAGACGGCUAACUCUGUGCCAGCAGCCGCGGUAAUACAGAGGUCUCGAGCGUUAGGCGGAAUCACUGGGCUUAAAGCGUGUGUAGGUGGAUGCCUAAGUACCUUGUGAAAUCCCACGGCUUAACCGUGGAACUGCUUGGUAUACUGGGUGUCUUGAGUCACUCAGGGGCGAGCGGAACAAAUGGUGGAGCGGUGAAAUGCGUAGAUAUCAUUUGGAACGCCAAUGGUGAAAACAGCUCGCUGGGGGUGCACUGACACUGAGACACGAAAGCCAGGGGAGCGAACGGGAUUAGAUACCCCGGUAGUCCUGGCCGUAAACGAUGUCGACUAGAUCGUGGUGGCUCUGACGUCAUCACGGUCGAAGCAAAAGUGCUAAGUCGACCGCCUGGGAAGUACGGUCGCAAGGCUAAAACUCAAAGGAAUUGACGGGGGCUCACACAAGCGGUGGAGCAUGUGGUUCAAUUCGAAGCAACGCGCAGAACCUUACCUGGGCUUGA
rnacentral:rRNA from 1 species